UACGGAGGGUGCGAGCGUUGUCCGGAAUCACUGGGCGUAAAGGGCGCGUAGGCGGCCUGAUAAGUAGGGGGUGAAAUCCUGCGGCUUAACCGCAGGGCUGCCUUCUAAACUGUCAGGCUCGAGCACAGUAGAGGCAGUUGGAAUUCCCGGUGUAGCGGUGGAAUGCGUAGAGAUCGGGAAGAACAUCAGUGGCGAAGGCGGCCUGCUGGGCUGUUGCUGACGCUGAGGCGCGACAGCGUGGGGAGCAAACAGG
rnacentral:rRNA from 1 species